rnacentral:rRNA from 1 species
AUGAUGUCGAGACGUCAGCUAAUGUUUGCAGCGCUUUAUCUCACCAACUUGCAAAGGCGAUGCAGUGACGAGGGUACUAUGGGAGAAAGGGACUUGCCUUCUCAAAUGAAUGUCGCAAGUGCCCAGCCAGAAGAAAGAAGGCCCGAAAUUGGUGCAUCAUCAAUCGCAGAUGGUUUUUUUCCAAUGCAUGGAGAUGGAGGCAUGUCUUCACAGCCUGUCGCCGGAAAUGAAGACAAGGCAAAUGUGGACGUGCAUGCUGUUCUGGGAUCAAAUUCUUCUCUGCAGGUGAUUAUGCCGGAUGUCACACCGAUGGUGCCGGAUGUCCUACCCUCGCCUGCCUGGGAACGUCAGCUGACCAUCGCUAGCCCGAGGAGGGAACCCUGCAAUCUGGACGGCUACAAGGGCUCAGCUAGGAUGACAUCAGGAAGAGACUCGAGGAGCUGGUUUCGAAGGUGA